UACGUAGGGUGCGAGCGUUAAUCGGAACUACUGGGCGUAAAGCGUGCGCAGGCGGUUUGUUAAGACAGAUGUGAAAUCCCCGGGCUUAACCUGGGAACUGCAUUUGUGACUGGCAAGCUAGAGUAUGGCAGAGGGGGGUAGAAUUCCACGUGUAGCAGUGAAAUGCGUAGAGAUGUGGAGGAAUACCGAUGGCGAAGGCAGCCCCCUGGGCCAAUACUGACGCUCAUGCACGAAAGCGUGGGGAGCAAACAGG
rnacentral:rRNA from 1 species